rnacentral:lncRNA from 1 species
CACAUGUGCAUGGCAGGGGCAUUGUCAUAGAUACUACUUGAUAUGGUGGUGCAUGCCCGGGACCCCCACACUUGAAGGACUGAAGCAUGAGGAUUGCUGCAAGUUUAAGGCCAGCAAGGACUACAUAGUGAGACUCUGUUAAAACUACAAAACAAAACAAAAAGGUCUCUGGAACCUUUUGAUAGAGUCAGUUUGGAAUGCAAAGCCUUCACAUCAUGAAAAGUAGAAAGGCUGACGAGCACUCUGAUGUUCUAAAUCUAAGCUCUCUGGUUACCUGUGUCAGAGGACCUGCCUCAUGCUCAUGCCUCAGUCUCAUCACCUCAGCCCUUACCUCUUCCUCACUCAGCUCCUGAGGACAAACUGGGAGGAAGAAAUUGAGUUGGAGAGAAGUGAAUGAUUUGUUCAAGGUUAUAGAGGUAUAGUAGACAGUAAAAUUACUCUUCUUCAAGAACACUGGUUAUUUGCCUUGAUUUUUUUUAAAAAGUGAAAUCAACAGCUUCACAUCAGCCACUGAUCAGGUACCAGAUGGCAAAAACUUUCAGUUGCUACCACCUAGGGCUAUAUUGAAACCAAUGAAAGGCCUGUAUCUCAUUAUCGGUCCCCUGAGCUCUGCAUUCUCCCACAUGGUACUGUCCUUUUCAAGUAGAAAAGUGACAUUAUUUGAAAAACUGCC